rnacentral:rRNA from 1 species
UAAUACGUAGGGUGCAAGCGUUAAUCGGAAUUACUGGGCGUAAAGCGUGCGCAGGCGGUUUGAUAAGUCAGAUGUGAAAUCCCCGGGCUUAACCUGGGAACUGCGUUUGAAACUGUCAGGCUAGAGUACGUCAGAGGGGGGUGGAAUUCCACGUGUAGCAGUGAAAUGCGUAGAGAUGUGGAGGAACACCGAUGGCGAAGGCAGCCCCCUGGGAUGAUACUGACGCUCAUGCACGAAAGCGUGGGGAGCAAACAGG